UACGUAGGGAGCAAGCGUUGUCCGGAAUCAUUGGGCGUAAAGCGCGCGUAGGUGGCUCUAUAAGUCCGUUGUGAAAGUCAAAGGCUCAACCUUUGAAAGCCGAUGGAUACUGUAAGAGCUAGAGUCCGGAAGAGGCGAGUGGAAUUCCUGGUGUAGCGGUGGAAUGCGCAGAUAUCGGGAGGAACACCUAUGGGCGAAGGCAGCUCGCUGGGACGUUACUGACGCUGAGACGCGAAAGCGUGGGGAGCAAACAGG
rnacentral:rRNA from 1 species